UACGUAGGGGGCAAGCGUUGUCCGGAUUUAUUGGGCGUAAAGAGCGUGUAGGCGGCCAUACAGGUCAGCUGUGAAAACUCGAGGCUCAACCUCGAGACGUCGGUUGAAACCGUAUGGCUAGAGUCCGGAAGAGGAGAGUGGAAUUCCCGGUGUAGCGGUGAAAUGCGCAGAUAUCGGGAAGAACACCCGUGGCGAAGGCGGCUCUCUGGGACGGUACUGACGCUGAGACACGAAAGCGUGGGGAGCGAACAGG
rnacentral:rRNA from 1 species